rnacentral:lncRNA from 10 species
GGGGAUGGAGAGAAGGAACGGAAAGAAGAGACUGUAGCUCUGGCAGAACCAGCAGAAGGCCCCCUCUUAGCAAAUGUGCAGUCUGUAGCUUUCAGUGGCAUGGCAUAACAGAGUAAGGAGGGCAGUGGAAGGGUGGCUGAGGAGGUUAUGUGAGGGCAGGGGGCCCUGUCUAUGGAGGCCCUUGCCGGGACCAGCCAACUCCAGGAAAGCGUUAUCCAAGAAAGGCAAAGAGGAAGUCGACCCCACAGGUUAUGGAAGAAAAGCAACAGACAGAAGAUGGGAAAAACAGGUCACGUUUAUAAGACCAGCUUGAAGACCAUGCCACACUGAGGAGUUUGGUUUUUCGUUAGGCAAAGAAACUAGCUGUUUUUUCUUCAAUGUUCAUCGGAAAACUUGCCCAGCAGCUGUGAGUGACUCUUCAGCUUUCGAAUCAUUGUCUUGGAAUCUUCUAAACCAGGAUUAUUUGUAUCAGGGAUCAGGGAAGAAAGAAGUCCAUCUCUUCUUCUUUUAGACAGCAGAAUUGAAGAGGAAUAUGAACCCAUCAGGGUGAUAAACUCUAAAGCAUCCAUUCUUAACCACAGAAGAGCAGCCCCUGGUAUGAAGCUGGAUCCUCUACAUCACGGCAAACACUUCAGUUUGGACAGUGCAAGGCCAGCAGUCCUGGUAAUAUGGAAACCCUGGGCACUGGAUUUGAUAAAGAACAAGAAGAGCUGUGAUAUCUGUGCCCAGCUCCUGUACUUUGGUGCCAACAAAGGUCUGAAUCCUUGCCUUUAAGAGUAUCAAAUCAGGUCUGGCACAGAGAAAGAAGUUAUUCUUCAUUUUGACAGAUUCUAAGACAGUAAUGUUAACAGAUGUGGGAAAAGUAUGUGUUGGCCCCAGAGUGGCCAGCAUAGAAAAUAAAACAGAGAAAUUUAUCACUCGAUCAGUACCAUCUAAAAGAGAAAGUAGAUCUAUGGAACAUAGGAAUAGGGUAAAAUUAUUUCAUUAGGUUUUAAAUCCAGCCCGUGGGUUAUUUCCACAAACCAUUCUGCUUUAUUGGCUCUGUUCACCGAGGAAUUUUAGUUUAUCAUUUUCCUUGAUACUAGGAAAUUGCAGACACUAAUAUGACUUAAGAAGACAGAUUAGAAAAAUCAAUGCAAUCAAAUAAGCCUCCUUCCCCUAAAUUGUCUCUGCCUCUCUUUCUCUCUCUCUGUCUCUUUCUCCCUCCCUCUCUCUCUCUCUCUCUCUCACGCGCGCACACACACACACACACACACACACACAGAGUCAAUUCUGUUUCCAGCAGAUUAGAAUACUGAGAAAUCCCCAUGACUUUCCCCAGCAACCCCUCCAUCUCCCUUUUGAUAAGGCAAGAGAGGUAAUAUUUACUGAAUGCCAAUUAUAUGCCAGAUAGGGCACAGAUUUUUUGUAAACAUAAUUUUAGUUAAUUCUCAAAUGAUUAUGAAGCAGGUAUUAUUAUUUCAACUUUAUAAGUAAAGAAACUGACUCAGAAAAGACAAGUAAUUUGCCCAAGACUGUCAGUUUCUAAAUGACAGAACUGUGAAUCAAUUCCAGCUCUCUUUGGCUCCAAUACGUGGCUCUUUCCAUUAUUCAUUCUGCCUAAAUUCCUCCAGCAGAGCUUCUUCCCUUUAGUUUUUAUCCCUGUUUUAAUGUAUUAUCCAUAUGCCUCAGGGGAAGGUAACUAAGCUCUCACCAGCUGUUAUGCUUCCUUUUAGAAGAAAGAAGAGGCAAGAAGGAGGAGUGCAGACAAGGCACAGAGGAGAAGCCUCUGAGAGGGACAAAGCAGAAGAGAGAGACUGGGGCUAUGGAACACAAUGUUUUCAAUGUUAAGUGACAGGGGACUUUUUUUCUUCAACUUUUAUUAUAGGUUCGGGGUACAUGUGCAGGUUUGGUAUAUGGGCAUAUUGUGUAAUGCUGAGGUUUGGAGUACACAUGAAUCUGUCUCCCAGGUAGUAAGCAUAGUACCUAAUAGGUAGUUUUUCAGCCCUUCCUCCGCUUGCAUUCACUAUCUGUUGUUCUCAUCUUUAUGCCCACGUGUACUUGACGUUUAGCUCCCACUUAUAAGUGAGAACGUGUGGUAUUUGGUUUUCUGUUUCUGCAUUAAGAAUCACUUUUUCCAGGCCGGGCGCGGUGGUUCAUGCCUGUAAUCCCAGCACUUUGGGAGGCCGAGGUGGGCGGAUCACCUGAGGUCUGGAGUUUGAGACCAGCCUGGCCAGCAUGGUGAAUCCCCGUCUCUACUAGAAAUACAAAAAUUAGUUGGGUAUGGUGGCUGUAAUCCCAGCUACUCAGGAGGCUGAGACAGGAGAAUCGCUUGAAUCCGGGAGGCAGAGUUUGCAGAGAGCCAAGAUCGCGCCAUUGCACUCCAGCCUAGCUGACAAGAGUGAAACUCCAUCUCAAAAGAAAAAAAAAAGAAAAAAAAGAAUCACUUUUGCCAUAUACAGUUGUUUUCUAGAUGUAGUUUUUCCUGAGUGAUGUGCAGUACAGAUUCUUUUCUUAAUUUCACCAAUAUCUUCAGAAAAAUCUACAUAACCAGCAGAGGUAGGGACCAGUUGGGGGAAUGGGGCAGACCAACGAUGAAUGAUGUGUUUUGUCUGUCUUGAUCAUGGGCACAGGGUAAAAGUGAAGGCUGCCCCAAGAGGCCAGGUAGUGCUCAGUUUGAAGCCAUGUCACCAUUUGAUUAGGGAUAGAUCUUACCGCACACAAACAUUUGUGCACUGCAAAUAUUUUCUCUGCAGCAAACACGAUGAAACAUCACAAAACGUCCAUUUGAAUCUUCAACUUUUCUUUUUCUACCAUCCCUUUCCUUCUCCAAUGUUCUCCUGAAAUUUUUCCCUUAUUGUGACUAAAGGUAUCAAAAUAUGAAAGAUGAGGUAGCUGGAAGCCAGUGAAAUUUUUGGGAACGGAGGUGUCUUAUGGAGAAAUGCGUAAUGUUUCUGCCAGUGACUGUGCAAAGGCAACAUGCCAUGGCACAGCAGUGUUGGUUGCUCUCCCUUUAUAAGUUAGCUCUAAAAGCAAAAGUGCUGGAAAAUACUAAAUGCAUAUACUUAAAUCACAUAAGAAAUUGGCCUGUCACCCAAAACGUCAUAAAGCAAUGUUGCUAGUUUAUAAAGAGAACCACUUUGCAAAGCCAGACAGUUUUACCUCAAGCAUCUCUGGAGAAAUGUUCACUCAGUUGGCCUGAAUUAUUCGUUUUGACCAUAUCUGCACAUAGGACAUUUACAGAAUGUCCUGGAAGGCAUCACCUUUUAUCAACAUGAUGCCAUUUUUCCAUUCUCUUCAGGGUUCAUGGGAAGGGAGAGACAAACACACAAAGAAGAAUGUAAUAACCGUGGAAAUCCAAAAACCAUCUUGGCAUUAGAAGGUGUCUCUCUAAAAGAGAGGGAACAGAACACAAUGAAAAGUGUGAUCAUAUCUUUUAAAAAAUAAUCUAGUCCUUUGAGGAUGAGUUCAUGUCCUUUGCAGGGACAUGGAUAAAGCUGGAAACCAUCAUUCUGAGCAGACUGUCACAAGGACAGAAAGCCGAACACCUCAUGUUCACACUCAUAAGUGGGAACUGAACAAUGAGAACACUUGGACACAGCACGGGGAACAUCACACAUGGGGGCCUGUUGUGGGGUGGGGGGAUGGGGGAGGGAUAGCAUUAGGAGAAAUACCUAAUGUAAGUGAUGAUUUAAUGGGUGGAGCAAACCAACAUGGCACAUGUAUACCUAUGUAUCGAAACUGCACGUUGUGCACAUUUACCCUAGAACUUAAAGUAUAUAAAAAAAUCUAGCCCUUUGAAACAAAAGAAAUAUAGUUGAUACAUGAUAUGAUCCCUUCUCUAUUAGUAUUGAAUUCAAAUUCUUUAAAUGAACAAAAACAUAAACAAGAAAGAUGGAGUUGGGGCUGAUGGUGGCUCUGAUCAAGAUUCUAAAAUAGAGGAGGUUCAUCUUCAAUGUUGUUCACCCACCCCAUUCAGCAGCCUCCACUCUCCAGCCUAGUAUUCUUGUAUGCUCACCAGUCCGUCUUACCUAUGAAAUCUUGCUUUCAAAAAGGAACUGAUGGACUCAUUUACACCAAGGCUUAUAAUUGAUGAGAUAAUGUCCCUUCUAAUGUCCGGCAGAGACAGUUAGUUCCUUACCAAUAGCCAUUCCACUCAACUCCCUCAAUUAAUAGAGCCCCAACUUUCAGCUGGGCACAUCUACAAGCUCCUUUGUAGUUAGUGAAAAUAUUGUGUGGAACUUGUAAGAACAAUUCUUGAAAAGGAAGAAGAGAACAAUUGCUUCUCUUCCUUUCCUUCUUACUGAUGCUUCGAAGAUGGAUGUGAUGACUGGCGCUUUAGCAGCCAGUUGAGAACAGAUUUCAUUUAUGUAACACUUGAUAUGACAGAGCAGAGGCCUGGAUGGACUUGGGUCCCUGGUAAUGCUGGAACCAUCAUAGAAGCCCUGGAGUGCCUUUCUUGGACUUUAUUUACAUAAGAAAAGUAAAUUUUUAUUUUUAUUUUAGCCAUUUUUAAGAGUCUGUUAUUCACAUGGAAACCUAAUACUAAUUGAGAGAUAUCUGUAUUUUAAUACUGGUGAUUAGCACAAUUCAUCCUAAUAAUGUUAUUUCAAAUUUCAGAUUUUUUUUGAUGAAGGAAUUUUUUUUGAGGGAGUAGAGGUUUGGGCGCAGAAUUGACUUAUUAAAUAUACACUUCUUAAAAAUCAGAAAUUUAAAAAAUUGAUACUAUAAAUACUGGAUCAAUGGUUCUUAUGAAAUUGAUCACACUUCCUUUUUUAGAGAUUCUUUUAAGAAAAAAAAUUUAAUGACUAUUUUUUAUUAAAAAUAGCCUAUUUUUUCCACAAGCUUAUUAAAGAGCUAGCAGAUAGCAAAAUUGUGCCAGUUAUUAACUUAUUGUCUGUAUACUCCCAACCUUCUUUUCUAUAUUUAGCUUUAUGAUAUGGGUACAGGGACUAUGCACAGCCCAUUUCUGCUUUGCAAGCUGGCUCUGUGUUAUGCUCUGCCAACAGGAAUAAUGGGAGGAGAAUGCAAGAAGUGGGGAGCAAGAGGCCAUUUAAUCCUUUUAAAGGCUUCCUGUGUGCAUGUGCUUGCUGUGAGCAUUAUUCCAGCAACACUCCUCUACUCCAGCAGCAGCAGUUCUUUUCAGUAGCAGCAGCUGAAUCCAACCAAAUUUGUAAAACCAGACAAACUGACCCUUCCCCACCAGAUGCAAUCACCAGCCAGUCUGUGCGUCCUCCUUGGAGAUCUGAGUUUCAACUCCAUAGGGUGCCUCUUCUAAGUUUCUAAAUUUUAAUAAUUCAAACGGAUGUAACAACCCUCAAAAUAUAAGUAAUAAUAAUCUGUGAUAUUCAAGCUGCAUAUUACUUAAAUAUUGCAAUAAAUAUAAAUGCAAAUUAAUUCUUUCAUAGAAUCUUACAAAAUAAGAUGCUUAUCUGAACAUUUAAUCCUCAACUCAGACCACUGAAAAUGCAUUUUUGUUAUUUUUACACUAUCGCAGUGCUUUAAGAGCUAGAAUGUAUUGUUCUUCCAUUUUCCAGUAGAUGAACAAAUUCAUAAGGGAAGCCUACUGUUCUAAGCAUGCUUGUAUUUUUUUAAAUUUUAUAUGACACUCUUCACCUGCUGACCCCCAAGCCACAAGGCCACCACUGCCACAGAGGAAGCCAUAGCAAAGUGAUCCUACUCAUAGACCAAAGAUGACCAGGAGUGUUGAGGGCAGCUUGUCAGGCUCAUUCUCACUGGUUCUGCAUACUCUUUUCUAGGCAGCGUCUGGUACCAUGGCAUCUGCAGACCUCAGCCAAUCUAAUGUGAGUGGGAAAGGCCAUGUGAGAGCAGCUGGGACCUAGAGGCAGUAUGGUUUAAGAAAUAUAGGAGCAGCAUUUGAAAGGUAAAAAGUGGAAACAUUUUCAUAAAAGCCACUUAGCCUGAGGCAUGGCUUUGAGAAAAUAUUGGCAUUUCUAGACUGAUUAUAAAUAACUGAUGAAAAAAUUCCUUUUCUUUGUCUCCCCUUCACUAUGAAUAAUUUUAGGUCAAGAAAUAAGUUCUUUCACUUUCAUUCAAUCUAAUUGUCAGGUAUGAACAUAAUAGUCUAUGGUGUUAGAAAAGCUAUGAAAAAAGUGAGAGAAAUGCACUCUUUGCGCUUCUAACUAGAGCCCUCUGCCAAAGGCAUUUUAUGUUGUUAAGGCUUAUAAUAUCACCCUAUGAAAACUACUGUUAGAUCAAGCCUGUAAUUUUCACUCUAUAUUGAGUAUCCAAAUCACAGAGUACCCAAGAGUCAUGAAUGCCACACAGGUAUGAUCAUAUAAUUGUAAUAUUGACAUUUGCAGUGGUGGAGCACUGGUUAUACAAACCGUCAGUAUAAUCACAUUAGAGGCCUAUAAUAUAUAGAAAUCCAAAGGAUAGCCCAAAAAAGAAAAAAGUGGAAGAGUCGAAUAACAAGUCUUCAAAGGAAUUUCACAUGCCAUAUUUUCUCUCAUUUAGGAUAAUUUUCUUCCAACAGGAUAGCUCUAUACCAAUAUGUCUUUUUCAAUAUUGUUUAAGCAUUGGCUCAUAGGCACAUCUGGUCCAUAGCUAUGUUCCUUUUAGCCUGUAGAAAGUCAAAACUGCUUGACUUAGUUCCUGUUAUUUUAAAAUUGGGAGAUGUCACAUAAAAUAAGGAUUUUUGGUUUCUCUUGAAAAGUGGAAGAGCUGGCAGAACAGAGCCCACAUUCCUGUGUGGCAACAUCUAACAUAAGCUGAUGCUGAGUAACAGCUGUGCCUGUAGCUCAGAGAGCCAGCCUUUACUCUUCCAAUGCUUCUCACUAGCCGGAUUCACUAAUUUAUAGUUCAUGCUUCUUGCUUGAAAGUGUCCUGUGGGGACAUUUUUCUUCUUAAUUAAAUAUUGAAAAUCACUUCAAGGAACUGAGAAUCCAACUGAAGUCUUCUAGGAUAUAAUUGUUAUAAAUACAACAUAUUUAUUAGUAAAUAUUUAGAAUAUUUAGGAAGGAAUCUUCCUAAUGAAAGUAGAUUAGGGCUGAAAUGCUUCGGUCUAGGAGGGAGGGUAAAAUCCAAGAAGAAAAGACAGAAUCGGUGACUUAAGAAGGAAUUUUCAUAAGUUAUUAAAGGGUUAUAGAAGAUAAUAUAUACAUAACUUUAGAGAAAAAAAUAAAGCAGCCAGUGUUUAGAACAGCUACAGGUGGGAUUAUAGAAGAAAUAAAAAGAAAAAAAGGAAAACACAAACAGACAAAAUUGUGUUUUGUGGAUCACCUAAACUUUUUGGAGACAUUCCCAUAAUUAUUUAUUGAUCGGUUGAUAUCAUAAGAGCUACUCUUCUAUUUAAGACAAUGGACCUUUCUUCACCAUUAAAUGACUCCCCAGAUGAGGAUUGUUAGAUUAUUAGUUUAAAGAAAUAAUCAGCCAAUUAAAAGAACCAUAAAUAAGCUAUUAGCAAUAUAGACCAUAGUUGGAUUGUAAAGAUUUGCUCUGGAAAUACUUUAUAAGAGAAUUAUGCUUCCUUGUGGGGAUUACAGGAUUUGGUACACUUUUUCUUUCUGCCAAGCUGUCCAUUUUGUCAAGAAAUACCUAUAAAUUAGUUUGAACUGCAAACGUAUAAGAACAGUAUAGUAGCCCCUUCUCGACCUAGAAUGAGAUCUAUAGCCAUCAAGUGUCUAAAAUUGAUAUAUUAUGGUUUUUAAACAUUGGAUGGAAAAAUCCACAGAUAACCAUAUUUUAGUAUCUACAUUUUAAAAGAACUGCAAAUAGAUGCAUAUGUUUGCCAGCCCCCAUCAUGUGAUAUGCUUGCACAGAGUUCCCACUGUCUUUAUACUCUUGAUUUAGUUGAACUCGGUGCGACACUUUUGACAUAGACUUCUGAGCCACGCUGUGUUAGUAUCAGAAGUGUGGUCACUUCUGUGUGUCCAGGUGGAAACAAACACAAUGAAGAAUAAAGUUGUGCAUGAACGGAGCUGCUAGGCCAGGAUAAAUUGGCAUAAGAGAGAUGGGCUCACUGAAUCCGGGAGGAACCUUUCUGAUACAUCACUCACUUACCUUACAGCAGUUUCAAAGUUGUGCCUUAUUUCUGUCCACCUCCAGGAGGUCAGUGCCUCCUGGAGCCUGGCUAACACUUACACUGAUUAUCAAUACCAUUCAUUACAGACAUCAACACCCUUUGUUAAUAAUGCGCUCUCCACCCAAAGCUGUUUCUGAGGAAAAUGCCUGGGAAGGAAGUCAAAAACAGCAGAGUCCAUAAGGCAGGCUGGGUCUCUGCUGUGUGCAUGAAUCAAUGUGCCUCUAUUUUCUGAUAUGCUCGCCAUGACGUUCCUGGCAGUGACUCUGGAGACCUGGUUGUUUGUGUGUGCCCACAAACUGAAGGCUGUUUCUGAACCUGGGCUUUUUGUUGCUGUUCUCCCCACAUCUCUCAUCCUUCUAUGUGAAUAAGUCAUCAAAAUAUGAUUGUCAUACCAUUUGACAUCGCUGAAUCAUGGCAACAAGACUCUCUUUCAUGGGCCACAUAGUUAGAGCUCACUGAUGAUUCAGAAUCCUCAGCCCUACAAAUUCUCAUUUCCCAGGAAAGCUUAUACAAGAUAUCCACUGCUGGAGAAAACCACUAGAAUGAGUCGCCUGGUGUCUAGGGGAAACGUUCAUUCUUUGUGUCCCCAGACCCAAACAAACAUGCAAUGUGGUGAUGGUUCAUUUAAAAACCUCUUCAGCUUUUAGUUUAAAUUUUUUUGUGGUUCAACAUUUAUAGAAAGCCUCCUUCCACUCCAUGACCAAUAACUCUCAACUGCCUUGUUCUGUCUGCCUUUAGUAAACACAAAGAUCACGUGUAUAUUUUAAGUCACACAUAAGAUUGGAAAUAUUAGGAUAUUGGAUGGGAAGAGUUUAAUUUAAAAUCAACUUUGUGGAUGCUGAUGUGUCCUAUCUUUCUUGUGUUUUCAACAGGGUCUUUUUUCCCAUCUUCUGUGUUCUAUUUCACUUUGUUUCAUUAUUUCCACUAUCUAUCUGAGCUUUAAGUUUAGGACAACCCAAUAAGAAUACCCAAUAAGGAUAAGAUGCCAUUAGAAAGAGAGUGAAGAGUAUAGCACCCUAUGGUUGACACCCACUGCUAAUGUCCUCUGGAUUUUCCAUUUGGCUGGAGAGAGAAGGCGAUGCCAACAAUUCCAGCUCACUACUAGAAAAAUGUGGCUUAUAUCUUAACUUCAUUAUAUUCUGGAGAAAGCAGCAUUAGAAGUGAGGGGCCCAGUCUAAUCACAUGAGUCAUCAAAUGUGGAGAACUUCUUCCCCAGUCAGUGAGAGAUAGACAGCAGCAGAAAAAAUUUCAAGUGUGAAAGGGCCUCAAUUAGCUGUUCCAAAGAAGGGGUCUAAGAGUUAAAAAAUGCAGGCACCUCUUGAAGGCAGGAAGACCAAGGAAACAGAUUCUCUCCUACUGCCCCCAAAAGAAAGAUGAUCGUGCUGUGAGCUGGGUGUAGAGGUUCAUGCCUGUAAUCCCAGCACUUUGGGAGGCCAAGGCGGGAAGAUCACUUGAGUCAGGAGUUCAAGACUAGCCUGGCCAACAUGGUGAAACCUCAUCUCUACAAAAAAUUAGCUAGGGCCGGGUGCAGUGGCUCAUGCCUGUAAUCCCAGCACUUUGGGAGGCUGAGGUGGAUGGAUCAUGAGGUCAAGAGAUCAAGAACAUCCUGACCAACAUGACAAAAUCCCGUCAUUACUAAAAAUACAAAAAUUAGCCAGGUAUGGUGGCACAUGCCUGUAGUCCCGGCUACUUGGGAGACUGAGGCAGAAGAAUCACUUAAACCUGGGAGACAGAGGUUGCAGUGAGUCAAAAUUGCACCAUUGCACUCCAGCCUGGCAAGAGAGGGAGACUCCCUCUCACAAAAAAAAAAAAAAAAAAAAAAAAAUAGCCAGGGGUAAUCCCAGCUACUCGGGUGUCUGAAGCAUGAGAAUAGCUUGAACCUGAGAGCUGGAGGCUGCUGUGAGCUGAGAUCGCGCCACAGCACUCCAGCCUGAGCAAUAGACUGUUUCCAAAAAUAAAAUAAAAUAAAAUAAAAUAAAAUAAAAUAAAAUAAAAUAAAAUAAAAUAAAAUAAAAUAAAAUAAAAUAAAAAAUAAAAAAAUAAAAGCUGAAAACACAUUUCCAUUUUGUGGUGUCAUUUCCUAUAUGGAAUCCUAACCUAAAAUGGAUCCCCCAUCCUGCUGUGCCAUGACACUUGUGUGUAACCCCAUUAAAUGUCCCCUUGGCAUCAGUAGCUCAUGGGUAUUGCUGUUUAUCCAGCUCAUACCCAUUCUGUAUGCUCUACAUAAACAUGAGCAAAGCAAGGAUAAAAUUUGGAAUAUACUGUAAAAUAGCACAAGAACAUUGGAGAUGCUGCCUGUGGUGCCCAGAAAGAAGUAGAUUUCAUUUUAAUACAGGAGUGAGACUGAAUAUUUUGUCUAUAAUUGAGCCAGAUUUGGAAAUUCUCCACAGGUAGAAGAGUGUCAAACAAAGACUAAUGAUAGCAUUAACAUGAUGUAGCUGUCCCAAAGAUGGGGGUCCCUUACUCUUUUCCUGCCUGUAUGCUCCCUUUGGAUUUAAUUGCAGUUUAUAGUUGUAUACUAGGUGUAUUUCACUCUGUUUUGUUUUAUCAUACUAUGAUCUUUUAAAAUAUAUCUUGCCACUCAGAUGUUAAGAAUUAAUGUUAAUUUUUUAGGUUUGAUGACAUUAUAAUUGUAUUUUUUAUUGUAAUUUUUACUGAGAUAAUUGUAGAUUCAUAUGCGGUUGAAAGAAAUAAUACAGAGAUCCCUUGUACACUUGCCCAGUUCCCUCAAGGGUAACAUUUUGCAGAACUAUAGUGUGGAUAUUAUACUAUAAUAAUACCUCAACCAAGUUGUUGAUGUUGAUACAAUCUACUGAGCUAAGUCAGAAUCCUCAGUUUUAUUUGCACUCGUAUGUGUAUUAAGCUCUAUAUAAUUUUGUCAACUGUUUAAUAAGUAUCCACUACUGCUGUUUUUAAUAAGAAUUUAUCACAUUGGUAGCAUCUGAAUUUUGGUUGGAAUUAAAUUUCAACAUGAAUUUUGGAAGGGACAAAACAUUCUACAGUAAUACCUAGGGUUUCCAAUUCCAGGGUCUAGAAGAGCUCUUCACCUGUGAGAGUUUUCCGUGAUGGUCUGUGGUUAGCCCAGCUUCUAGGCAAACUUUUCAGAGAAUUCCAUUGGCCUACAUUCAUGGGACACCAAUAAUAGGCAUCAGGAACAUCCUCUUUUUUCACUCUUCUCCUUUACCUUUCCUGUCCACUGUGCUUGUAAGUCCUCUCUACGAAGACCACUCCAUUAAAUGCAAAUAUGGCAAAUAACUCCUAAGCUGCCUUAAAAGCUUUUUUCUUCUCUAUCUUGAGAAAUAACAAGUUUACUCUGGAUCCCAGGGCAGGAACGUGCAGAUGUGAUGUCAUGUCCUUAUUUCUUUUCAACAGGCAUUAACAAUUUCUUAAUAUUUCACUUUUAUUCAGUCACUACUCUUUCUUCCCAACUUAAGUGUUAUAAGCUGAUUUUCAUCUACUUGUUCACAUCAUCAUGUUCCUUGUUUUCUAGUUUUUCAAAUACCAGGAUCUUAUAGUACCAUAAUUAUAUGGAAAAAAUACACAGAAUGGGCUGAACUACCUGAAGACAUUAUGAAAUCAAUAUUUGAAAAUUCAUACAUUUAGGGUUUGUCCUGUAAAUAUCAUGAAGUAAUGACAAUUUUUUAGGUCACAAAUCUUGAUCCUUUUUAGUUGACUGCAAAAUUCCAGUUAUAAAAUUGACAAUAAAAUAAAUUUGGUUACAUGAAAGAUCAUUACAUUUUUAGGGAAUGAUAAUGAAGCCUGUUUCAUAUAGGCAAGGAAUGGGUAAUGUUAAUUUAAAUAAUUUUAGCUAAAACAGCAUUCCUGUGCUACUUCUGGGAAUCUCUGUUGAAAACUUUAUUUAGAAACUGCUUAACACACAUAAAUGCCCCAAUAGUUCAAAUAAUUAAACUCCGUUUGACAUGGUAUUUUACAUUGGAAACAGGUUAACUGAAGGGGAAAGUGUGGUUUUAAUUUUUGUUGAUUGAAAUGUCAUAUGUUUCAUAUAUAAGAUGGUUCACUUGGAACUGAACAGAUAAAGCAAUCCAAGAUUUAUCUGAUUUUAAUGUUUUACAAUCAUUUAGUACUUUUGAGUGGAAAUGCCAUGAACUGAUUCAAGGAAUGUAAAUAUUAACUUUUAUUACACAUUUAUGAUUUUAAAAUGAACCAAAAUGGAAAAAGUCUUUCACAAAAUAAUUAUAUAUUUUUCCAUUCUUUCAAAGGAUAUGUAUACUUGAUUGUCAAGAAAAUAGAAUUUUAUCAGUUAUACUUAUUAUCACCUCACUGAAGACUCUGCUUCCAAUUGUUCAGACACAUGAAUACACAUACACAUACACACACACACAUACACACAUACAUCACAGACCUUAUGCAUUCCUCUCCAUAUUUCUUCCGGGUCAAGGGGAUGUAUUGAUAAUCAAUGUUAUAAUCUUCAUUUAGUAAUUAAUCCAUGCCACAAUGCUAGUCCAUCUGACACUUAUUUAGUGAUGAUAUGCUGGAUUGUAACUAGGUCAUAUGGUACUAAUAAGGACAAUUGUUGGCUGAGAGUCUAACUGAAACUCGAGAUUUGAGUCUUUGCCCAAUUGCCUUUUUCUUCUAUUUCCAGUCCUCACUACUCUUCGUUUUGUUCUUUGUUCAUUUCACAAUAAUUUCACUAAAAUAACCUUUUGAACAUAUCUUUGAACUUGGGAGAAGUCUCAUUGGUGGUGAGGCCAGGCUGAGAAGAUCAUGAGGAUGUUUGCCUUUGCCUCAGCUCUUCAAGUAGAUUCCCCCUCUUAUUGUGGGUUUGCAUGUGAAAUGCAAGGUAAGGAAUUAGACAGUGAGGGAAAAGGGAAAAGGCACUAACAGACACUCUAAACAAUAUUUAGCAUGUUUUUGUUUCCUAUGUGAUUGCCCAUUAAUAAUUUGGCUGAAAAAAACAUCUUAUCCUAUUCUAUCAUCUUCUUAUAUUUUCCUUCUGCUCCCCUUCUCAUCUUAGUAUUUUCUGCCUUUGCAUUUUAAUAUAUCUCCUUUCCCAUGAUUUUUCACUCCUGUCUUCAUUCUACCCAUUUGAUAUUGGAUAACCUCUUGUGAUAUUACAUCAAUUUAUGUAGAAGCAUUUCCAUAUCUAGCAUUGAAGUGGUUGGUUAUUCCUUUUGGCUGUUUUGCCUGCACUCAUAAAUCUAAUGCCAGGCAGGUGAACGGGUGCGCCUCGCAUCUGUGGGCUGUUUCAACCACAUAGGUGAAGAGGCACUUCCGCUCUCAACCCUCAUCUAUCCUUUUCAGAGCAGUCACAUUUAACUCCUUAAGCUACAAUCACAACUUAAACCUCUGCUGACUGACUGCUCCAUGGUUGUCCCACUACUCUCAAAAUAAAAUCCAACCUCUUGACCUUGAAUGCCCUCUGUAACCUGGUACCUCCCUCAGUCUCUGCCUAUCUCCUUUUGCUCUCCCUUUUCUGCACCAUGCUCCAUCCAUGUUCAUCUCUCAGUUCCUCAGGCAAGUCAAACUCUCUCUUACUUUGGGGUAGACUGGGGGAGGGACUGGGAAGAGGCUUUGCACAUGCUCUUGCCAUUGCCUAGAAUCUUCCUCCAGUUCUUUGCUUAGCUUUCUUAUUUUAUCCUUCAGGUCUCUAUUUAAAUAUUGUCAACUCAGGCCUUUCUUAACUACUCUUUUUUUUUUUUUUUUUUUUUUUUUUUUUUUGAGACAGAGUCUCACUCUGUCACCCAGGCUGAAGUGCAGUGGCAUAAUCUCGGCUCACUGCAACCUCUGGCUCCAGGUUCAAGCGAUUCUCCUGCCUCAGCCUCCCAAGUAGCUGAGAUUGCAGGCACCUGCCACCACGCCUGGCUAAUUUUUGUAUUUUUAGUAGAGAUGGGCUACUGUUGUUGCCCAUGUUGGCCAGGCUGGCCUUGAACUCUUGACUACUCUUUUUCAAGUAAUUUCUUUCCCUCUGUCCCAAACACACACACUUACACACCCACCUGCACCCAUACACAUGCACAUACACAUGCCCAUUCAUGUUCAUUCAUGGAACUGAUAUCACCAUCACCAUCCAUCAUAGUUAUGUUCAGUGAUGCCACUGUUUAUCAUCUUUACAGCACUCAGCACCUAUGUUUUUGUCUGUUUGUUUGCAUGUGUAAUAUUUAUCUCUUUAAAUUGCAUGUGAACUUCGAGACAAUAGAGACUUACUUGCUCUCUACAUAGUUAUAUCACCAGCACCUCGCCCAGUGCCAGGCACAUUGUAGGUCAUAACAAAAUAAAUUUAAUGUUGACCUAGCUGAGUGAGAUUAGCUUGAUGUUAUAUUAAAUUUUUAAACAAAACUGAAGUUCAUUAUUUAUAUGAGGAAUAAAAAACAUAAAGGGGCUUUUGGAAAAGAAGUGUUAUCAGACAGCUUUGUAAUAUUUUCUCAAGUCUUACACAUAUGUGAUCAUUUAAUUCUUGUUCAUUUUUAUAAUACUAUCUCAAGGAAUUAGAAUUAUAAUAAUAUUAUAGCUUUAAAAGCAUAACUAUACUGAAUCCAAGAUAAAUGAGAAUCUCUCCAAGGACCAUGAACUAGACCAAGCACUAUACCUCAUGGUAAAGAUUAUCAAGUAGUGAGCAACCAGAAUAGAUGUGCUGCUGCUCCCUAGAGAAUGGACCUAGACAGGCACACCAAAGGUAGCCAUACGAGCAGCUAGUCACUUGUGCUGGGGGCACUGCCUAACUAGGUAGAAAGCUGAAGGAGAAUCACAGAGUUUGGCUUCCCUGAGCUAAGUUUAUUCAUACAUUGUUUUUCUUGACCACAUAUGUUCUGAGUGCUAAUGACUUUCAAAAUUUAAUUUCCCUUGGAAAUCAGAUAUCUUCUUUUUUAAAUUUUUAAUUAUUAUGAAUACAUAAUAGUUGUACAUAUUUAUGGCAUAGGUAUGAUAUUUUGAUAUAAGCAUACAACAUGUAAUAAUCAAAUGAGGGUAAUUGGGAUAUCUACCUCCUCAAGCAUUUAUCAUUAUUUUGUGUUGGGAACAUCACAAUUCUAGUCUUUUCAUUAUUUUGAAAUACUUACAGUAGCUUAUUUUUAACUAUAGUUGCCCUGUUAUGCUCCUGAACAUUACGUCUUAUUCCCUCUAACUGUAUUUUUAGGCUCAUUAACCAACCCCUAUUUAUUCAUUUCCCAUUACCCUUCCCAGCUCUGGCAACCAUCAUUUUACUCUCUAUCUCAAUGAGAUCACAUUUUUUUUUUUAGCUCCCACAUUUGAGUAAGAACAUGUUCUACUGUCCUUCUGUGCUUAGCUUAUUUCACUUAACAUAAUGUCCUCUAGUUCCAUCCAUGUUGUUGUAAAUGACAGGAUUUUACUCUUUUUAUGGCUGAAUAAUAUUCCAUUGAGUAUAUGUGCCACAUUUUCUUUAUCCAUUGAUCCACUGAUGGACACUUAUCUUGACUCCAUACCUUGGCUCUUGUGGAUAUUGCUGCAAUAAACAUGGGAGUGCAGAUAUCUCUUUGGCAUACUGAUUUCAACUUUUUUUGGCUAUAUACCCAGCAGUUAGUUUGCUGGAUCAUAUUGUAGUUCUACUCUUAGUUUUGUGAGGAACUUCCAUACUGUUCAUAGUGGCUGUACUAAUUUACAUUCCUACCAACAGUGUACAAGGGUUGCCCUUUCUCCACAUCCUCGCCACCAAUCAAUAUUGCCUGUCUUUCUGAUAAAAUCCAUUUUACCUGAGAUGAGAUGAUAUCUUGUUUUAGUUUUGAUUUGCAUUUCUUUGAUGAUUAGUGAUGUUGGACAUUUUUAGACUGUUUGCAUGACUUCUUUUGAUAUAUGUAUAUAGACCUUUUGCCCAUUUUUAAUUUUUUUCUAAUUAAAAAAAUUUUUUGAGAUGAAGUCUUGAUAUGUUGCCCAGGCUGGUCUCUAACUUACGGCCUCAAGUGAUCCUCCCACCUCAGCCUCCUGAGUAGCUGGGAUUAUAGGUGCAUGGCACCAAGCCUGGCUUUUUGCCCAUUUUAAAAAUGUAUAAUUUGGUUUUUCACUAUUGAGUUGUUUGGGCUCCUUAUAUUAUCUGAUAAUUAAUCCCUUGUCAGAUGGGUAGUUUGCAAAUAUUUUCUCCAAUUUGUGGGUUGUCUCUUCACUUUGUUGAUUGUUUUCUUUGCUCAGUAGAAGCUUUUUAGCUGGCUGUGAUCCCAUUUGUCCAUUUUUGUUUUGGUUGCCUGUGCUUUUGAGAUCUUACUCAAUAAGUCUUUGACCAGACCAAUGUACUAGAGUGUUUUCCCAGUGUUUUCUUCUAGAAGUUUUAUAGUUUUAUGUUUUAGAUUUGAUUUAGUCCUUUUUGAUUUGAUUUUUUUCUAUGGAGAGAGAUAAGAGUUUCAUUUCAUUCUUCUGCAUAUAAUUAUCUAGUCAUCUCCCUUCUAAAGAGAACCCCCAAGUACCAGGCACUCAAGAAGAACAUUUUCAAGGCCACAGGCCUUUCAGUAUCAAUGUAUGAUUUUUGGAAGGUAUCUCAUCAGAACUCCUUGAACAUUAGAAGGGCUGACACACUAUGGCCUACAGGAUAAAUCUGGCCAUCGUUCAGCUCUUUUGUAAAUAAAAUUUUAUUGAAAUACAGCCAUGUUUAUUCAUUUAUGUUUGUCGUUGACUGCUUUUGCCCUACAAUGGCAGAGUGUAUGGCUUACGAGCCCUUAACUAUUUACCAUUUGGGCAAAGACAAGAAAAUUUUCUAACCCUUCUGUUAGACCAUUUAAAUUAGAUUUCAUUUUAACAUUAAGACAUCAAGUUAUUAAUCAAUGUGAACUUAUAGCACUCAAUGCAACCAGAAUCCUACUAAGUGCUGUCUGCACAGAACUCCAUAAGGCUCCUGUUAGAGUCUCCUCUCAAACAAAUGCUUGGCUGCAUUGCACCUUGGGGGACCUUCUAUUUGCACUUUGCCAUUCUUUUUAAAUGAUUAACAACUUGCCUUCUUUAUAUUCUCCCUCUCUGCUGCUCCCAACAUAGUGUAUUCCUAUUGCCAUAUUUGUGUGCAAUGAUAUUUAGAAAUUGUUUCUUCGUGUUUGUAAGACUCCGCAGAAAUCAUCACUGAUCCCUCAGGAAGGGUGUUCUGGAAUUGUUCACAUUCUUCACCAUUUACAACUUACUUCUGGAAUUGCAUAUAAUCCUGAAAAUGUAUCAUUCACCCAGAUAGUCUGGGAAAAUGAGUUAAAAUAAGAUUACAUAUUUAUUCAAAUUAUGUAGACCCAGAGAAGAAACAGUCAUAUGAAGGUCCAGUUGGUAAAACUAAAAAUUCUCUUAGAAAUAAUAGAUAAGAUUUGAAUUCUAAAAUAAGCUGGAGCUGGGCGCUAUGGCUCACGCCUGUAAUCUCAGCAUUUUGGGAACCAGGGUGGGAGGAUUGCUUGAGCUCAGGAGUUCAAGAUCACCUUGGGCAACAUAGUAAGAUCUCAUCACUACAAAAUGUAAAAAAUAUUAGCCAGGCAUGGUGGUGCACACCUGUAGUCCCAGCUACUUGGGGGACUGGGGUAGGAGGAUCGCUUGAGCCCAGGAGGUCGAGGGUGCAGUGAGCUGUGAUUGUGCUGCUGCACUCCAGUCUGGGUGACAGAGCAAGACCCUUUCUCAAAGAAAUGAAUGAAUGAAUAAAAUAAUCUGGAAAAUGCAACUAAUAGAAAUAAUAGUUUACAUUUUAGGCUCAAAAGAAAUAGGUAUUUUAUGGAAGUGAUAGCAAGAUUUGGAGAUGCUGGAAAAUAUUUUUUCUUAGUUAACAUUUGAAUGUUUAUAAUUUUCUGUCAAUUCGUAAGAAUAUGUGAUGACAUUUAUUCUGAUGCAUAUUUGACCAGGUAUAGAUUUUUCUCUGUAAUUGUGAGAAAUAUACUGUUAAACAGGAAACAGAGCUGAUGUUAUAAAUAAUGUUUUCUUGCAGAAAUUAUGAACAAAUAAAUAUUCUCCUCCUGCUUUUUCCUGUCUAGAACAGUGUCUGGAAUAUAGUAGAUGCCCAAUAAAUUACUGAAUAAAUUAACAAAUAAAAAUUAAGUUCAAGUCACAUUCUAUAUUAAUGGGCUUGAAAAAUACUUAUUUUUUUCACUGGGAUUAUGAUUCCUGAAUAAGAUUAUAACUAUAUUUUUGGCUUUUGCUUAUUACAGAAUCACUUAAAAUAAGGUUGCUGCCUGGGGAAACAUUUGGGCAACAUGCAAGGAGGACUGCCCAACCUGAUUCUAAUUCUUGCGUAUGGUUCACUAGUAAGCAGUCAUGGAAGAAUUCAGCUUCCAUAUUUAUUCUGAAUACUUGCUUCAGGUAUUCAAAUAAUAUAAGUUGGCUUAUUAAAAUUAAUAUGCCAAUAAGGAUAGACAAACAGAUCCAUGUAACAGGAUAGACAGUCCAGAAACAUAUGGUCAAUUUACAUACAUGAUCAAUUCAUUUUUGAUGAAGAUGCCAAGACAAUUCAAUGGAGAGAGGAAAAUCUUUUUAACAAAUGAGAGUGGAACAACUGGAUGCACAUAGGGAGAAAAUAUCAACUCCCUACUUUCACUACACACAAAAAUUAACUCAAGAUGGAUCAUGGAACUAAAUAUAAAAGCAAAAAUGAUAAAACUUUAAGAAGAGAAUAUCUAUGAUCCUAAUAUUUGCAAAGAUUUGUUAGACAAAACACAAAAGAA